rnacentral:lncRNA from 1 species
GUACUUCCAUGGUUUCUUCCAAACAUGUAAGAAGUGGUGAGUGUGGAUGGAUCGUUCCCCAGAAGCCAUUGUGUUCACUGGAAGCUGACAUCCGGGACUUGGCAUCCAUUACAGGUCUAACAAAAGACCGUAAUCCAGGCUUUUGAACCGAUCAUCCACACAGCUCUACAUCAGCUGUGCAGGGGUGUAAACCUGCGCCGACCAAGCACAAGGCAGCUAUCCCACCUGUUCCAUCAUUUCCCCACCUUAUGUGCACUCACUCUGAGAACUGCAAGCAAUUACUCUGGAUAGAAGGGCAUGCUCUUGAAGACUCUGCACCCUGACUGAGUGCCACCAUACUUGCUCUGCUUAAUGGUGAAAAGCUGAAACACUGGCAGCCCCUCCUAACCGAGGCCAUGAGCUUCCAGAUCUCAGCACGGUCUCUCACAUGCAUGCCUGACACAUGUGGCCGAGCUGCUCACAAUGUUAAGGACUUGGUCUCUAGGAUUCAUGUACACAUUGGUGCCUCUGCUAGCACUGGCAGGUCAGCUGCAGUACCCUGUCUGUGGGAGGAAGAUACUUUUCUGGAGGUUUCAUAGCUUGAGAAACCUGGCUGUGUUCUGCAACUCUCUGCCUCUGCUCACACUGCAUUAGAGCUUUGGCUUGACUGAGUUAAACACCGACUUGCAUGAUCACUUUUCCCGCUGAAGAACCCUUUCAAUGGAUGAAUAGGGUGGGUUUCCAGCAGGCCUCCCGGCAAAUGUUGCCGUCACCCUCCCUGGUGGCUCGAUCUUGCAUACGGAUGUUACACACAUGAUGGAGCAGUGACUGUCGGAGCUGAGUCAGCACAACUGAUCACCUCCAGUCAAUCUUCAUUUUGUGGAACUGGAACGGCGUUUCAGCCCUCUGUGGCUGCUGGAGGUGACGCUAAUGGCAUCCUCCUCUUGAGGACUGGGAUGGGUCCUCGUCCGUCCUCGGUGCUGCGCUGAGUCCGGGUGCAGGAGCAGCUGGGUGCCGUGGGUAGGGGGCAGGAACGCAGCCCCCUUCUCUGUUUCGUGACUCGUGCUACUGUGGGCUGGGGUCCGUGCUCCCUCCUCUCAGCCCUGUGUUACACUUGUUGCCAAGCUAAACCAUGAUGGUUUAUACUUGUUCAUAUUAUUUUUGUAUUAUUUCUGCACCUUUCAAAUUAUUCUUAUUUCUGCUUUUGGAGGAUGCAGGCGGCGAGCUAAGGCUGUAAGUGGGG